GACGAACCGUGCGAACGUUAUUCGGAAUCACUGGGCUUAAAGAGCUUGUAGGCGGUUUGUCGCGUCUGCUGUGAAAAUCCGGGGCUCAACCCCGGACUUGCAGUGGGUACGGGCAGACUAGAGUGUGGUAGGGGAGACUGGAAUUCCUGGUGUAGCGGUGGAAUGCGCAGAUAUCAGGAGGAACACCGAUGGCGAAGGCAGAUCUCUGGGCCGUAACUGACGCUGAGGAGCGAAAGCGUGGGGAGCGAACAGG
rnacentral:rRNA from 1 species